rnacentral:rRNA from 1 species
AGUGAACGCUGGCGGCGUGCCUAAUACAUGCAAGUCGAACGGCGUGUCGCACGGGUGAGUAAUAUAUCUCUAAUCUGCCCCUUGCUGGUGGACAACCUUUAGAAAUGACUGCUAAUACUCCAUAGCAAGUGAUGAGAAUAUAUCGUAUCCUCUAGUCGGUGUGGUAACGGCCUACCGAGGCUAUGACGCGUAACUGGGCUGAGAGGAUGAUCAGUAGACUUGGAACGGAGACACGGUCGAGACUCCUACGGGAGGCAGCAGUAGGGAAUAGUGCGCAAGGGGAGAAUCCCUGACGCAGCCUCGCCGCGUGGAGGAUGACACUUUUCGGAGCGUAAACUCCUUUUGUUAGGCAAGCGGUACCUAACGAAGAAGCACCGGCUAACUCCGUGCCAGCCGCCGCGGUAAUUC